GAGUUGCAAAAGUUUCAACUCGACACUAAGGAUUUGAAAUUUCCUUAUUGCUCUACAAACUCUUCAGGGAAGCCUUGUCACGCUUAUGUUGCAUCAUACUAGCAAAUUUGUGUAGCUCUUAGGAGAAAAUCAUCAAUUGUUUCAAGAGUUAGCGUGGAUCUCCCAGCAAGUGUGGCGAUCAACCUUGCACAUUGAGCUAUAAAGAUUGGAUUUAUGACCUAGCGCUCAUAAGCAACUUGCCUUCAAGUUUGUACUCAUUCCAGCAAGAAUAAGAAAGAAAGAGCAUAGUGCGUAGAGAUAAGAAGUCGUGGCAGUGAACUUGAAGAGGAUUGUUGUGGAGACCCAAU
rnacentral:misc_RNA from 1 species